rnacentral:rRNA from 1 species
UACGUAGGGGGCGAGCGUUGUCCGAAGUUACUGGGCGUAAAGCGCGCGUAGGCGGUCCUUUAAGUCUGAGGUGAAAGGUUCAGCGCUCAACGUGAACAGUGCCUUGGAGACUGGGGGACUUGAGUGUGGGAGAGGGCAGUGGAAUUCCUGGUGUAGCGGUGAAAUGCGUAGAUAUCAGGAGGAACACCGAUGGCGAAGGCAGCUGCCUGGCCUAACACUGACGCUGAGGUGCGAAAGCGUGGGGAGCGAACGGGAUUAGAUACCCCGGUAGUCCACGCCGUAAACGAUGAGUGCUAGGUGUUCGGGGUAUCGACCCCCCGGGUGCCGCCGCUAACGCAGUAAGCACUCCGCCUGGGGAGUACGGCCGCAAGGUUGAA